GACGAACGCUGGCGGCGUGCUUAACACAUGCAAGUCGAACGGAAAGGCCUCUUUCGGGGGGUACUCGAGUGGCGAACGGGUGAGUAACACGUGAGUAACCUGCCCUUGACUUUGGGAUAACUUCAGGAAACUGGGGCUAAUACCGGAUAGGAGCUCCUGCUGCAUGGUGGGGGUUGGAAAGUUUCGGCGGUUGGGGAUGGACUCGCGGCUUAUCAGCUUGUUGGUGGGGUAGUGGCUUACCAAGGCUUUGACGGGUAGCCGGCCUGAGAGGGUGACCGGCCACAUUGGGACUGAGAUACGGCCCAGACUCCUACGGGGGGCAGCAGUGGGGAAUAUUGCACAAUGGGUGGAAGCCUGAUGCAGCAACGCCGUGUGCGGGAUGACGGCCUUCGGGUUGGAAACCGCUUUCGCUCAUGACGAAGCUUUGUGUGACGGUAGUGGGUAAAGAAGCACCGGCUAACUACGUG
rnacentral:rRNA from 1 species